GCCUUUUGAACAUUUGCUAAAAACAUCCACAUGUCUAUACAACCGCUAGAUUCUUGAAAGCUUAAAGCAAGAUCAGUACCAUUCAAUUCUUGCCAGACUAUGAGAGUUUCUUCUUGACGGCUGUAUAUAUCUUCCGCAAUCAAUUGUGUUUUCAAAAGGAUGGUUUCAUUAUCAGCUUCUGAACGCACAAUGAAAUAAGCCAACGGUCCCUCUAUUUUUCCAUCGCAAUAACCGGUGCCACAGUCUACCCAGUUUUCAUCUUCCAUUUCGUACACUUUUACACGUCUGGGAAUCGAUGGCACUUCGAUCUUCUGCAAUGCAGCUGCAAUUGCUUCGUCUAAUUCCUCUUCUUCAUUUUCUCCAUCUGAAAUUUCAUCAAUAUUAUUAUUUAAAUCUUCCUCUUCCUUCGUAGAAUCCAUUUCUACGGCGGAUUAAGGGUAGACGUCAGCUUCGAAUUUACGACGUUGGCGUUCGUCACCAAAUUUUCAAAAGUGAAGACGAAAUUCAAACGUGGUGGUGAAUGAAUGCAAUACCGUAGAUUGCACCAAGAUUGUAAUUAUUAAUAAAUGUAUUUCUCAUUAAAUGGCAAUGCCGCUUUACUUAAUUAUUUGGUUUGCCUAAAAUAUAACAAAUAGAUUUGUUAAGCAGUG